GGAGCGAACAAAUAUUUUCGUACUGGGCCAUCGGGGAGAGGGGAUGGCAAAUAACGGGAAUCUAUUGUCUCAUUUCUCUGCAAUUCUUGGUGUUCCGGAACACUGGAACAGGUGUCACUCUCUUUCCGGCCUUUGGUUGCGUUAGAGGGUAUUGACUUUCGUUCCGCGUUCUUGUUUUUCUUUGUGUUGUUGCUUACUACCAAUAGUUGCCAACAUGAAGAGGUCGAGGACAAGCGAAAUGUGGUCAUAUUUCGAAAUUCUUGAUCGAGAGUUUGCGAAAUGUACUUUGUGCGGUAAGAAAUUAUCGUACAAAUCGACGACGACGAAUUUAAAGAAACAUCUCCAGAAAUCACAUUUAAUUGUGGAUUUCUCUUCACAAAGACCUUCGGAGCUAGAUUUGGGUGAAUCCCUUCCUGUAGAGGUGAUCCUUGGCACCAGUAGUGUGGAAGAGGAGCGAGCUGCUCCAGCCCCCUCAAUGCAGCAAGGUGUUCAAAGUUCUAUGACAUCGUACCUCUCCAAAAGGAUCGGAGUGAAUCA